rnacentral:rRNA from 1 species
UAGGGAAUCUUCCGCAAUGGACGCAAGUCUGACGGAGCAACGCCGCGUGAGUGAAGAAGGAUUUCGGAUCGUAAAGCUCUGUUGUUAAGGAAGAACGAGUGUGAGAAUGGAAAGUUCAUACUGUGACGGUACUUAACCAGAAAGGGACGGCUAACUACGUGCCAGCAGCCGCGGUAAUACGUAGGUCCCGAGCGUUGUCCGGAUUUAUUGGGCGUAAAGCGCGCGCAGGCGGUUAGAUAAGUCUGAAGUUAAAGGCAGUGGCUCAACCAUUGUAGGCUUUGGAAACUGUUUAACUUGAGUGCAGAAGGGGAGAGUGGAAUUCCAUGUGUAGCGGUGAAAUGCGUAGAUAUAUGGAGGAACACCGGUGGCGAAAGCGGCUCUCUGGUCUGUAACUGACGCUGAGGCUCGAAAGCGUGGGGAGCGAACAGG